AGAUAAUCAUCUAAACUGUCUUGUAAAUCUGUCCUGGGUCUUAGCUGUAAGAUUACUUUAUUUCUUUAAUUCUUCAUUCUAAUGUGGAGGUUGGUCUUGUUUUCCUUAUGUUGACAUAUGAAUGAACAGAAAUAUAUUCUGUUUUUGAUAGAUACUGAAGUAGUAAUGUGUUUUGUAGUGGUAGAACUAAUAUGUCAUAAUGAAAUUGAAGGGUUUGGAGUACUGGAUGAUUUGAGUUAUUGUUAUCAAAAAGAUGUACUUUGGAAGGCUUGACUGGGCACAGUUGAGCAUUAGCAUCAGACUCAAAAUCUCAGCAAAUAGAUGCUCAUUUGUGUUCAUAUCUCAUAAAGAUCAUAAACAGAAAUAGUAGUAAAUUAUUCAAUUCUGUAAUGGAUAUUCUGUAUUUUUUUUUUUUGUAAACAAGCAAGGGAAACAGGACUAGGAUAUAAAGCUGCUAAAAGUGGCAAAUCUGCCGUUGUUUGGAUAAUCACUGAAUGAUUGACAGUAGCUUGUGAAAAUGAAAGAUUGUAUAUUGUGGGAUUACCUGCACUUGGUGUUCUUGGUGCCUUCAUUAACAUGUUCUGUUUUUUGAAGAUGAAUUAAAUCUGUUGGGCUCUGCAAGCAUGCUAAAGACCAAGAUUAAAAUGAUCUUGGCAAGUUGAAAUAAUGAGCCAGAAUAAAAUAAGGUAUGUUACAUAGACAAGUGCAAGGUUCUGUAUGGUAGGUGGGAAUCAUCAGCUGCUUAUAGAGUAGGAUUACUGUUCUGUUUUUGCGGAAAAGGGAAGGUACAAAUAAUCCUUUAUGCUGAGGAGGAAGUGUCUUGAUGUCCCUUCAGUGUCUUGAUGCAGAGAACUGAAAGGGCAAAGCGUGUGAAGAUAAAGGCUAAAGAAAACAGAUGACUCCUGAGAUUAGUGUAUAGAUCUCCAGACGUCAGCACAGUAACAGCUCUCCAUGAAGGUCAACGGCAUGACAAAAUGUCAUUACAAAGUAUUGGAAGGAACAAGAAGGAAAAGGAACAAGAAGGAAAGACAAGAAGAAAGAAUACUGCAAGUACUAUAUACUAAAAGGGAAAACUGUGAAAUGAAAAACAACUACAGGAACUCAGAAAAGAAACUUUUGGGACCACAAUUUAUCACAAACUGA
rnacentral:lncRNA from 1 species